UACGGGGGGUGCAAGCGUUAAUCGGAAUCAUUGGGCGUAAAGGGCGCGUAGGCGGUCUGUUAUGUCAGAUGUGAAAGCCCUCGGCUCAACCGAGGAAGUGCAUUUGAAACUGAGAGACUUGAGUAUGGGAGAGGGAGGCGGAAUUCCUGGUGUAGCGGUGAAAUGCGUAGAUAUCAGGAGGAACACCGGUGGCGAAGGCGGUUUCCUGGACCAAUACUGACGCUGAGGCGAGAAGGCGUGGGGAGCAAACAGG
rnacentral:rRNA from 1 species